GGGGACUUAGCUCAGUGGUAGAGCGCUUGCCUAGGAAGCGCAAGGCCCUGGGUUCGAUCCCCAGCUCCG
rfam:Rattus norvegicus chromosome 6, whole genome shotgun sequence.